GAUGAAGAACGCAGCGAAAUGCGAUAAGUAAUGUGAAUUGCAGAAUUCAGUGAAUCAUCGAAUCUUUGAACGCACAUUGCGCCCCUUGGUAUUCCGAGGGGCAUGCCUGUUCGAGCGUCAUUAUAACCCCUCAAGCUCAGCUUGGUGUUGGGGCCUGCUGCACUGGCAGCCCUUAAAAUCAGUGGCGGCGCCAUCUGGCUCUAAGCGUAGUAAUUCUUCUCGCUAUGGAGUCCUGGUGGAUGCUUGCCAUCAACCCCCAAUUUUUCUAUAGGUUGACCUCGGAUCAGGUAGGAAUACCCGCUGAACUUAAGCAUAUCAAUAAGCGGAGGA
rnacentral:misc_RNA from 1 species